UACGAAGGGGGCUAGCGUUGCUCGGAAUCACUGGGCGUAAAGGGUGCGUAGGCGGGGCUUUAAGUCAGGGGGGAAAUCCUGGAGCUCAACUCCAGAACUGCCUUUGAUACUGAGGAUCUUGAGUACGGGAGAGGUGAGUGGAACUGCGAGUGUAGAGGUGAAAUUCGUAGAUAUUCGCAAGAACACCAGUGGCGAAGGCGGCUCACUGGCCCGUAACUGACGCUGAGGCACGAAAGCAUGGGGAGCGAACAGG
rnacentral:rRNA from 1 species